rnacentral:rRNA from 1 species
UACGGGGGGGGCAAGCGUUGUUCGGAAUUACUGGGCGUAAAGGGCUCGUAGGUGGCCAACUAAGUCGGACGUGAAAUCCCUCGGCUUAACCGGGGAACCGCGUCUGAUACUGGAUGGCUUGAGUUUGGGAGAGGGAUGCGGAAUUCCAGGUGUAGCGGUGAAAUGCGUAGAUAUCUGGAGGAACACCGGUGGCGAAGGCGGCAUCCUGGACCAACACUGACGCUGAGUGAGCGAAAGCCAGGGGAGCAAACGGG